rnacentral:tRNA from 1 species
AUUUAUAUAAUAUAAAAAUUAUAUUUAACUUCCAAUUAAAAAAUCUAGAAUACUAGUAUAAAUA